rnacentral:rRNA from 1 species
AUUGAACGCUGGUGGCAUGCCUUACACAUGCAAGUCGAACGGUAACGGGUCUUCGGAUGCUGACGAGUGGCGAACGGGUGAGUAAUACAUCGGAACGUGCCCGAGAGUGGGGGAUAACGAGGCGAAAGCUUUGCUAAUACCGCAUACGAUCUCAGGAUGAAAGCAGGGGACCGCAAGGCCUUGCGCUCACGGAGCGGCCGAUGGCAGAUUAGGUAGUUGGUGGGAUAAAAGCUUACCAAGCCGACGAUCUGUAGCUGGUCUGAGAGGACGACCAGCCACACUGGGACUGAGACACGGCCCAGACUCCUACGGGAGGCAGCAGUGGGGAAUUUUGGACAAUGGGCGCAAGCCUGAUCCAGCCAUGCCGCGUGCAGGAUGAAGGCCUUCGGGUUGUAAACUGCUUUUGUACGGAACGAAAAGACUCUGGUUAAUACCUGGGGUCCAUGACGGUACCGUAAGAAUAAGCACCGGCUAACUACGUGCCAGCCGCCGCAGUAACAC